rnacentral:rRNA from 1 species
GAUGAAUGCUAGCUGUUAGCGAUAUACUGUUAGCGGCACAGAGAAAUCGUUAAGCAUUCCACCUGGGGAGUACGCCGGCAACGGUGAAACUCAAAGGAAUUGACGGGGGCCCGCACAAGCGGAGGAACAUGUGGUUUAAUUCGAUGAUACGCGAGGAACCUUACCUGGGCUUAAAUUGCAGUGGAAUAACGUGGAAACAUGUUAGCCUUCGGGCCGCUGUGAAGGUGCUGCAUGGUUGUCGUCAGCUCGUGCCGUGAGGUGUCGGCUUAAGUGCCAUAACGAGCGCAACCCUCAUCGAUAGUUACUAACAGGUUAAGCUGAGGACUCUAUCGAGACUGCCGACGUAAGUCGUGAGGAAGGUGGGGAUGACGUCAAAUCAGCACGGCCCUUACGUCCAGGGCUACACACGUGUUACAAUGGGGGGUACAAAGGGCAGCUACCUGGCGACAGGAUGCUAAUCUCUAAAACCUCUCUCAGUUCGGAUUGGAGUCUGCAACCCGACUCCAUGAAGCUGGAUUCGCUAGUAAUCGCGCAUCAGCCACGGCGCGGUGAAUACGUUCCCGGGCCUUGUACACACCGCCCGUCAAGCCAUGGGAGCCGGGGGGACCUGAAGUAUGCAACCGUAAGGAGCGUCCUAGGGUAAAACUGGUGACUGGGGCU